GUGGAAGAAGUAACUGUAAAUGUGGC
rnacentral:piRNA from 1 species